rnacentral:rRNA from 1 species
GACGAACGCUGGCGGCGUGCCUAACACAUGCAAGUCGAACGGAAGUAAGUGCUUCGGUAUUUACUUUAGUGGCGAACGGGUGAGUAACGCGUGAGGAACCUGCCUUUCAGUGGGGGACAACAGUUGGAAACGACUGCUAAUACCGCAUAAUGCAUUUAGGGGGCAUCCCCUGAAUGCCAAAGCUUUAUGUGCUGAAAGAUGGUCUCGCGUCCGAUUAGCUAGUUGGCAGGGUGAUAGCCUACCAAGGCGACGAUCGGUAGCCGACCUGAGAGGGUGAUCGGCCACAUUGGAACUGAGAUACGGUCCAA